rnacentral:tRNA from 1 species
GGAGGGGUGCGAGAGCGGUCGAAUCGGGCGGUUUUGAAAACCGCUGAACCCUCACGGGUUCCGGGGGUUCGAAUCCCUCCCCCUCCG